UACGUAGGGUGCGAGCGUUGUCCGGAAUUAUUGGGCGUAAAGAGCUUGUAGGCGGUUUGUCGCGUCUGCCGUGAAAGCCCAGGGCUUAACCCUGGGUCUGCGGUGGGUACGGGCAGACUAGAGUGUGGUAGGGGAGACUGGAAUUCCUGGUGUAGCGGUGAAAUGCGCAGAUAUCAGGAGGAACACCGAUGGCGAAGGCAGGUCUCUGGGCCACUACUGACGCUGAGGUGCGAAAGCGUGGGGAGCAAACAGG
rnacentral:rRNA from 1 species